GACGAACGCUGGCGGCGUGCUUAACACAUGCAAGUCGAACGGAAAGGCCCCUUUGGGGGUACUCGAGUGGCGAACGGGUGAGUAACACGUGAGUAACCUGCCCUUGACUUCGGGAUAACUUCAGGAAACUGGGGCUAAUACCGGAUAGGAAUCCUUGCUGCAUGGUGGGGGUUGGAAAGCUUCGGCGGUUUUGGAUGGACUCGCGGCUUAUCAGCUUGUUGGUGGGGUAGUGGCUUACCAAGGCUUUGACGGGUAGCCGGCCUGAGAGGGCGACCGGCCACAUGGGGACUGAGAUACGGCCCAGACUCCUACGGGAGGCAGCAGUGGGGAAUAUUGCACAAUGGGCGGAAGCCUGAUGCAGCAACGCCGCGUGCGGGAUGACGGCCUUCGGGUUGUAAACCGCUUUCAGCAGGGGCGAAGCUUGUGGUGACGGUACCUGCAGAAGAAGCACCGGCUAACUACGUG
rnacentral:rRNA from 1 species